CCAUUGAUAACGUGAAAGCCAAGAUUCAAGACAAGGAGGGUAUCCCACCUGACCAGCAGAGACUUAUCUUUGCGGGUAAGCAACUCGAGGAUGGUCGCACUCUUGCCGAUUACAAUAUCCAAAAGGAAUCCACUCUCCACCUCGUGCUUCGCCUCAGGGGUGGCAUGCAAAUCUUUGUCAAGACCUUGACUGGGAAGACCAUUACCCUUGAGGUCGAGAGUUCAGACACCAUUGAUAAUGUCAAGGCCAAGAUCCAAGACAAAGAGGGCAUCCCUCCAGACCAGCAGAGGCUGAUUUUCGCUGGGAAGCAACUUGAGGACGGAAGAACCCUUGCUGAUUACAAUAUUCAAAAGGAGUCAACCCUCCACUUGGUGCUUCGUUUAAGGGGUGGCAUGCAAAUCUUUGUCAAGACUUUGACCGGGAAAACCAUUACCUUGGAGGUGGAGAGUUCAGACACCAUUGAUAAUGUGAAAGCCAAGAUUCAGGAUAAGGAGGGUAUUCCCCCAGACCAGCAGAGGCUUAUCUUUGCCGGGAAACAGCUUGAAGAUGGAAGAACCCUUGCGGAUUAUAAUAUCCAGAAAGAAUCUACUCUGCACUUGGUUUUGAGGCUUCGUGGUGGAAUGCAAAUUUUUGUAAAGACGUUGACAGGAAAGACCAUUACUUUGGAGGUUGAAAGUUCUGACACCAUCGAUAAUGUGAAGGCAAAGAUUCAGGACAAGGAAGGCAUACCACCAGAUCAACAGAGGCUUAUCUUUGCUGGGAAGCAGCUGGAAGAUGGGCGUACCCUUGCUGAUUAUAACAUCCAGAAGGAAUCCACUCUGCACCUGGUGUUGAGGCUUCGUGGUGGAAUGCAGAUAUUUGUGAAGACUCUGACAGGGAAAACCAUUACCUUGGAGGUGGAGAGCUCUGAUACAAUUGAUAAUGUGAAAGCAAAGAUUCAGGACAAAGAAGGCAUCCCACCAGAUCAGCAGAGGCUUAUUUUUGCUGGGAAACAAUUGGAAGAUGGUCGCACCUUGGCAGACUACAAUAUUCAGAAGGAAUCCACCCUCCACCUUGUCCUUCGCCUUCGCGGUGGUUUCUAAGCUUUUCAAUUGUCCAAGUGUUCUUUCUUUGUACCCUUGAUCAUUAGCUUGUGCAUGUACUGCUGUCUGUGUUUCAAACUGAUAUAGUGAACUCGUGUGUUCUGAAAUCAAAUAAAAAAUAUCUUUUUCGUUUCACAAAUUACUUUCAUCAGAAAUUUGCACCACUCUUUGGUUAUUGAAUCUUGAUUAGGCAGAUUUUUUUUUUUUUUCUGGGACUGAACUUUGGAAAGCCUAAAUUAGAGUAAGCAAGCCUGACCCCUGUACUGUUUAUUUAUUGAUUAGGGCUUGUGCCAUUAGUCCCUGUUCCUCAACUUAACCAGAUCAGUUGUUUGGGUCAUGAUAUGAGACCAGGUCAUCCCUUUGCUCGACACUUGAUAUAUCAUAAUGUGUUAUAACUUCCUUCCUAACGAGGAACCAGUGUGAGAGAUAAAGAAGCGUUAUGAGAUAAUUUUGGAAUUGUAUUCUUACAUUAUUUUAGUAAAUAAUUUAUUUUAUAUACAAUGAUUACUGUUUUGUCGAUACUGGACUUCUGGUUCGUAUAAUGUGGGUCUCCAAGUUUCAUAUUCUUUUACUCGCAAGCGUCGUAUUAUUUUGCCUGCUGUUUGUGUUCGAUGUUUUAAUGAAAAUAUAGUUUAUUUUGAAUGCUAUCUAAAUAUCAUUGGAUAUUUUAUUGAACUGAGUUAGUUUGCCUUAUUAAUUAUUAUUCACUCCUAAAAUUAGUAUUAAAAUAUCUAUUUUAAUAUUAAUUAUAACAAUGAAUCUUCUAUUUUCUAUGUAUAUAUAACAAUUGUUGUAAUUUUUAACUAAACAAUUUUAUCUUUUAAUGAAUAAAAAUAUUCUUUUCUUUAAUAAAAUGCAUAACUACACAAACAAUACAUUUAGAUAAUGAUACUAUAUCGGUUAUAAAAAUAAACAAUAUAAAACAUAUUUCUUUCAAUAUUUAUUGAAAGAAUUUAAGCUGAAUCUGUAUCAAUUAAUUAAAAUGAAAAUUUUAAAAUACGAUGAAGUCUGUCUUAUAGUAAUAUUUAUAUAAUAUUAGCGAUACAAUAGUUUCUAUUCUCUUUUCAAAAGUUUAUCAAUAGGUGGGGCAAAUUUAUUAAUAUUUGAACCCAAAAUUUACGGUUGACAUCAUAGUUAGAGAUGGUAUGUAUAAAUGAUGUGUAUUCUAACGAUAAAUCAAAUGUCUAAUUGAAUAUUUGCGUAUAUAUUUUGGAUAGAUGUCCAUUAAAAUAUGAUCAUGAUAAUAUAUUAAAAACGAAAGAAAUAAUCAAUUUGACAUCUCAAUUUAUAAAUUUUUAGUUGCAUAGACUACAUUAUUAUUCUAUAAUUAAAGAAAAAACAUGAUUAUGAGAGAGAAAUAUCUCUUUGUUGAUUACUGCACAAACUUAAAUGCGUACAAAUUCUAUAAUAUAAAAACUAAAAGUAUAAUUAUUAGGUAUUGAAAUGUGACGUUUGAUGAACAUAAUCUAGGGAAGAAAAACCGAAAAUAAAUGAGUGUGAUGAUCCCAAAUAGCUAUACUAACUAUAAAAAAAUAUAAACUUGAAAUUUAAUGAGAAAAACAUCAUAGUAGGUCACGAAAGCAACAACAUUUUAAGAACCUAAAAAACAAUUUUAGAAUAAAAAGAUAAUAAAUAUUUUAUUAUUAAAAUACAAAAAAUUAUAUAAAUAAAAAAAAAUAAUUAUUCAAGUUUUAUUUUGAUAUAAUUAUAAUUUUUUAGAAAAAUGUUUUCUUUUUUCUUUACAUUUUUUUAGAUUUUUAUUUUAUCCAUAAUUAGAUUAUAUUGUCAAUUAGAUUUCUUCUUUGAAAUCUUAAUAAUGAAUAGAACAAAUUUCAUAUCUUUUUAUUAAAAUAAAUUCAUUUUUUCUCUUCGAAUCUUUUUGUAUAUUAGAUCAUCUAUAUUCACGUGAUUUGACUAAUUUUAAAAUUAGUUAUGCUAGUUCAGUAUCUGAUUGUUAAUGAAGAUUUUGUGGUGUAGGUUGUGUUAUUUUUGUGUAUUUUGGAGUUGGAGCUUCUUUGGAGUACCCAACCAUCUAAUUAGGUUGAGAAACUAGUUUUAUCUUUCAACAAUAUUGCAAUAAGUGACAUAUUUCAGUAAUUUCAUAUUAAAAAAAGAUAUUUAUGAAUAUUAAUUGAUAAAAUAAUUAUAAUAUAAUCUUUAAUUUAUGGAUUUAAAUUUUUUACAUAUUUUGUGAUUAUAAUAUGAAAAAGAAUAAUUUAUUUUCAAAUUUGUGUUAAUUUCAAGAUUUUUGGGAAGAAUGAAGAUGAAAGGGCAAAAGGAGAAUAAACAAAGAUAAAAAGGGAAAGUUGAACGUUUCAACACUCGUCAAAGCCAGAAGCUCCCAGAGGAUCUCACCCAAGUGAGCUCAAUCUUGCCCAGGAGAUCACUCCAAAGAUGUUGGACUUUUCUUCGUCCAACUCGUCCAAGUGAACUCAAUUACGCCCAAGCGAGCCCAAUCAUGUUCAGGCGAGAAGUCACUUAGCUCAAGCCCAACUAGGUUAUGAGGCGCGAGACACAAUCUUAGAUAUCAAUUGGGAGAAUAAAAGGUGUUAAAAAACCUUUGAGUAAGCAACCGUCAAGGAAAAACAUCCUGAAUCUUCUUUUCUUACUUUCCAUGCUUGUAAUGGCCAACAUGAGUGGGUAAUUCUAUCCUUUGGGAUUGUGAGUAAUUUGUUCAAACUCGUAUGUAUUGAUGUAUAUUUAAAUAUAAUAUUCUGUUUUUGAUUGAUGAUUGGUAUUGUCAUUUUAUUUGUAAUGCUUGUUUACCAAGAUCAAGAUCCUUAAAUUUGACUAGAAAUGAUGAUUGGUAUUGCCAUUUUAUUUGUAAUGCUUGUUUACCAGGAUCAAGAUCCUUAAAUUUGACUAGAAAGUAUCUAUAAGUUUCUGACCCAAAUGACAAUGCUUAACAUAUUUGAAUGUUAGGAAUAGAUUUGUGUUAAUUGCUAUGAACAUCUAAUCGUAAUUCUAAGAAGUUUUUAUAAAUAUGCGAGGAAUCAAUAUUUAGGAGACUUUCUUAAUAAUUUUAUAUGCGAGAAAUUGAUAUUUAAGAGACUUUCUAAAUAAUUGUAUAUGUGAAGAAUCAAUAUAAAUAAUUUUUAAUAUGGGCAUCAACAUCAAUCAAAGGAUAGAACAUUACUAUGCUUUUCAAAAUACAGGGUAAGAAAGAUGAACCACAAUUCAAAUUUUUCCAAUUGAUCCAACAAAUUCUUUGACUUACUUUCUUUAUAAUUCUUGCAAUCAUUAUAACAAACUCCCAACAAAUUUUAUUAUUAUUAUUUUCCUAUUUAGUGAAUCUUAUACUUGAUAAUUCAACGGUUCAUUGUCAGUUCGAUAUUCGUCCUUAGAGACAAAUUGUUACUUCUAACACAAUACACUUACCAUAAAAUAUACAUCACACCCUAGGUUAGAUAAUCUGGAUGUGAAGGUGACAUGUUCACAUGCACCAUUUUCUCUUGCAAGGUUGUUUUGUUGUGAAAAAAAUUAUUAUUUGAAUUAGUACGUACUAAAAAAUUAUUAUGUGUUUAGAAUUGAUUGAUGAUGUUUUGGUAGUUGGUUGUGAAUGUUAAAGUAUAAUUUGACUGAUUGAUGAAGUGUUAAUUGUUCCUAAACAAUGUAUAUGUUUAUAACUAAUUUAAGAAAAUGAUGGUUGUUUAAUUAUAGAUGUAUGUUUAUUUGAGUAAGAUAGUAAAUCUAUGAAUGCGGACUAAGUGAUUCAAAUUAAAGUAAUACGUUUUCAAAGACAAGUAGAUAAUGCUUUAAAAACUCAGUUUUAGUCACUUGGACCAAAUUAAGAAUUCUAUAGAUUUGUGUAGACUUGUUGAGCGAGACCCAUUCUUUCUAGUGAAAUUCAUAUUUUUAAAAACUUGAGAGCAUUGGUCACUAGGCAUGGGUAAACUUAGUCCCAGGAGUUUGGUUGUUGGGCAAACAAUGUUCUCAUUGGGUGAAACUAAGAGAAUUAAAAAUACUUCUUGUUGGGCGAGCCAAACUUUCAUUGGACGUAGUUGUUUUAUUUAAAAAUCUAAGAGCUUUGGUAGAUGGGUGAGCUAAGUUUGUUAGGCAAGCCUUUUAAAUGAAAUCUCCUAGUGAGUUAGUUGUUGGGCAAGUCAUUUCUUGCCAAGUGAAGUGUUUUUAUGAAAAAUUUCCAGUGGAGUAGUCGCUGGACAAACAUUUUGUUCGUUGCACGACUAAAAGUAGUUGGUUGUGUUGAUAUCUUUGGCUGUGUGAGUAGAAUGUUAGUUGGGUAAAUUACAAUAUGUGCUCAACUCGCUGAACGAGCCAAUUGUUUUCUGGGCGAGAGUGUGUUUUUUGAACUUUAAUAAAAAUAAUUUUUAAACAUCUCUUAAUGUUGAAAUGUGUUUAUUUUUUAUUUUAUUAUUAUCUUGGACUAAUAUAUUGUAUUUGAACAUUUAUACGAUGUUAUGAUUGAUAAAUUUCAAUUUGUCAGUAUUUAAAUUGAGUUCGAUGUAUAUGUCUGAAUGAAAAUCAUUGAUAAUUUGAUUAUGAUAUAACAUAUGUUGUUAUGUAGUGUUCUGACCUCAAGUUUGUUGAGAUAAAAUCGCUAGGAUCAAUCAUCGCAUCCGAGGUAUUGUCCGCUUUGGAGAUUUUGAGCCCUGUCACAGUUUUGUCCUUAAAAGGUGUCUCAGUGGGUUAAGGGAGGAAGGUGUAUUUAAAUUGCCAUUGACCUCAACUGUUAAGCGAUGUAGGACUAUAUAUUGGUCGUACCGAAACAUAUAGGCAUAAUUAUUUCCAGGGAGGGAGUAUUGUGUUGAGAUGUUAUGAAUAUGUAUUAAUUUUUGGACUCUGAAUUAGAUGAUCAUGACUCUUUUGAUACACUAACAUAAUAUAGAUUAAGGUGUUUAAGUGUUGAAAAUCGAAGGACAUUUCUAUUUCCUAUCCUGUGGUAUGAAAAAGAAUUAUAUUACGAUGAAAAAUUUACUUUGUCAUAUGAAAAUGAGUUUUCCUAAUGAUGAGACUUUGUUGUGGGGUCAACUUAGUGGUAAGACAUGUGCACAUCUCUGAAUUUAGUUUCGAUGCACGAAUCUUCUAAAAAUAUAGUCAAGAGUCUAUUAUUGUAUGUUAGUAGAUUUUUGACACAAGUAAUGAAUGUUAUGUGAGAAUUAAGAAUAUAUAUUUGGUAGUUGAUUAAUAUGUUGUAUUGUCAAUUAUGAGACAUCAGAUGAUUAUUGAACAUUUACCUCCUAUAGAAUUAUAUUGAAAAUUUUAAAAAUACUAUCUUAUCCUACUUUUUUGUUCAUGUUUAUUUUUCAUAACAUGUGAUGAUCGUGUAUUACACGAGAGCAGAGACUACAUGAAAUAGUAAGAAACUGAGGAGUUUUGUAUAUAAAUUUGGAAUUUUUUUUUUACCUUAUGAUGUAUAUAUUUAAAACUUCUAUAAAAAGAAAAUUAUUUUGUAAUACUAUUGUUCCGGUUCCGCAAAUAUAGUCUCACAUCGCUCAGGGGUCGAGGCCAAUGACAGUUUAUAUACUCCCUCCUCCCUCAACCCACCGAGGCGCCUUUUAAGGACAAAACUGUGAUGGAACACCGACCUCCAAAGCAGACAAUACCUCGAAUGCGAUGAUUGACCCUAGCGAUGCUAUCUCUUGGACUUGAGGUUGGAACAUUGGUGCCGUCUGUGGGAACGAAAAUGGGUCCCAAGCCCUUCAACCAGGGGGAAACCACUCCCUUUAGAACUCGACUGGGGGGCUACACAGUCCUCAUCGAGUUGCAUUUCCUAAGUUCAUUUUUGGUAGGAACAAUUGGAGCUUACUGUGGGACCCUGAUAAAACUUUUCCCAUAACCACUACAAAAAUCCGGACAUACACUCUCAAUAUGAAUAUCCAAUAGCUAUUUAGAACUGUGAGACGCCCUGGGCCAAAUGCGGGAAAAAAAGGAAAUGAGAUUUGGAUCCCUAAGAGAGCAACACAUGGCAUAAUUACGGGUACUGCAUGAUCAGAUAACUCGUAGGGACAAUAAUUACACCACUCAGGGUGACCAACAACACUCGGAGCAUAUCGCCGAAUCUCAGAGGGUCCCCCGAGAAAACUCGAAUCAGUAGGAGAGGUUGAUAUCUUGUACUCCCACUAGAAAAUUAUCUUGGAGGGGAAACCCAUCGAGAUCCACACAAUGAAAGACAGGGAAAAAUAGUCGUGGCCAUGAGCAUAAAUCAUACAAGGCCCUUCCUGACCCGUUGAUCAACCGUACAAUGAGGAUUAAUCUAAAGGGUUUUUAUCCCUUCACGGAUGAGGUUAUGAGGGCCCAACUUCCUUGGAGAUGAAGUUGGUCCAAUCUUGAGAAAUACUCGAGGACCUAGACCCCGAGGCACAUGUUAAGGCCUAUUUGACCCAAGCUCAACUAUUCUUGAAGGACAUGGACGUGCAUUGCAGGCUGUUUCUCACCACUUUGAUCGGGGUGGCCUUGGAAUGGUACUACUCCCUGCCUAGAAACUCGGUAGACUCGUUUGACACGUUCUGUGGUAGGUUCCUCACCAGGUUCGUAGAUUGCAAGCCCGUUGUUGAACAUAGGUUUUCAUGUCUCCAAAUCCAAGAAGAUUGCUUGAAGAUUUUGUUGAUGCUUAUGUGUGUGGGUUUUGUGUAGUUUGAAUUUGUAAAUUCUACUCAUAGAUUUGAUCCAAGGUUGCUUGAUUCAAGUUCUUUUGAAAAAAGGUGUUUUCUAAAGAAAGUGAAAAAUCAACCUAUUGAGUUGUCGUUUCAACCGGUUGUUUUACACUUAGUGUUUUUGAAAAGAAUUUGAAAAAGCUUGACAUUGGUUGACUUUGUUGUCAAGCCAAUUCAACUGAUUGUUUCGUGUUUUCAAUCGGUUGAUUUUUGAAAAUUCUUAGUGUAGAAAGGAAGAACAGGUCUAUGGAGGAACUUGCUAGAGCCAUGUUAAGUGAGUCCUCUUUACCAAAAUAUUUUAGGGCUGAUGUUGUGAGCGCAACUUGCUAUGUGAUGAAUCGGGUUCUCAUUAGACCAAUCUUGAAGAAAACUCCUUAUGAACUGUUUAAUGAGAGAAAACCCAACAUUGGUCAUCUAAAAGUGUUUGGUUGCAAUUGUUACAUCUUAAAUAAUGGUAAGGAGAACCUUGACAAGUUUGAUGAAAAAGCGGAUAAUGGUAUCUUUCUUGGUUAUUCAUUAACUAGUCAUGCAUAUAGAGUGUAUAACAAGAGGCUGAUGACUGUAGAAAAGUCUGUUUACAUUGUUUUGAUGAGUCUAAUCACGUAGAAUAGGAAUCCAGGAAGAAUUUUGUAGAAGAGGAUGAGCAGAAUAUCAUUCUAGAGAAGCUGGAAAUCUGUCUAGAAAAACAACCGAUUGAAUCUGUGAAACAACCGGUUGAAACUCUAUAAUAGAAUGGUCUUCCCAAAGAAUGGAGGAUUCUUAGAGAUCUUUUUAUGUAAAAUAUCAUUAGGAAGAUUGAUAAGGGAGUUUAUACUAGAACAUCUGUCUCUAAUUACUGCAAACAUAUGGCAUUUGUGUCUCACAUUGAACCCAAAUCUGUAGGUGAAACACUUAAGGAUGAGAGCUAGAUUGCUACUAUGCAAAAGGAGUUGAAUUAAUUCACCAAAAAUGAAGUGUGGACUCUGGUUCCUCAAUUUGACAUCAUGAAUGUAAUUGGAACCAGGUGGGUAUUUAGAAACAAACUAGAUGAAGCUGGAGUGAUUACAAGAAACAAAGCUAGGUUGGUUGCCAAAGCUUACAAUUAAGAGGAAGUCAUAGACUAUGAUGAAACCUUUGCACUUCUGGCCAGAUUGAAAGUUGGGAGACUGCUGCUUGCCUUUGCCUGCAUGAGUGGUUUCAAACUGUUCCAAAUCAAUGUGAAGAUUGCCUUUUUAAACGGGUUCAUCAAUGAUGAGGUUUAUGUCUCACAACCACCCAAUUUUGAGGAUCAUCAACAUCUCAAUCAUGUUUACAAGUUGAAGAAGGCUUUGUAUGGGCUCAAACAAGCUCCAAGACAAUGGUGUGAGAGACAUAGCAAUUUCCUCUUGUCUCAUAGCUAUGAGAGAGGCAAAAUUGAUAAGACUCUUUUCAUUAAAAAGUCAAAAUCUGCUAUCAUUUUGGUUCAAAUUUAUGUUGAUGAUAUCAUAUCUGGUGCUACUAAUGAUAGUUUAUGUGAAGAAUUUGUGGCAGCAAUGCAGGGGGAGUUUGAAAUGUCUAUGAUGGGAGAGUUAUCAUUCUUCUUAGAGCUUCAGGUCAAGCAAUCAAAGGAUGGAAUCUUCCUUAGCCAAACCAAGUAUUGCAAGGAGAUUCUCAAGAAGUUUGAGACGGAAAACUGCAAAGAGCCAUCCACACCAAUGUCUACAAGCUGUUAUAUGGAUGCUGACUUUGCUGGAACAACAGUAAAUCAAACAAAAUUCAGAGGAUUGAUUGGUUCUUUGAUUUAUCUCACUGCUAGCAAGCCAUCAUGUUUGCAGUUUGUCUCUAUGCUAGAUUUCAAUCCAAUCCAAAUCUCACUUCAAAGCUACAAAAUGAAUUCUAAAAUAUCUCAAGGGCACAACCACUAUUGGUAUAUGCUAUCCCUCUCACUCUCCUAUUCAUUUGGUUGGUUAUUCUGAUUCUGAUUUUGCAGGGUGUAAGCUAGAUAGAAAAAUUACAAGUGGGACUUGUUAUCUUCUUGGUUCAAGUCCCAUAUCUUGGCAUAACAAAAAGCAAGCUUGUGUGGCCCUUUCCAUUGCAGAAGCUGAAUAUAUAAUUGUUGGUAGCUACUGCGCUCAAAUUCUCUGAAUCAAUCAAUAGCUAAAGGACUCUGGAUUAAAAGUCAACAAGGUGCCUUUUCUUUGUGAUAACACAAGUGCUAUUAAUCUCACCAAAAAUCAAAUUCAACAUUCAAGGACAAAACACAUUGAGAUUCGGUACCAUUUUAUAAGAGAUCAUGUGAGCAAUGGGGAUUGUGAAGUUUAGUUUAUUGAAACUAGAAGAUAACUUGCAGAUAUAUUCAUCAAGCCACUACCUAAGGACCAAAGAAUUUUCUCCAUAAGAAAUGAGUUGGGUAUUCUUGAUUCUCAAAUUCUGUCUUAAUUUUGUUUUUCUCCCUUGUCUUACUCUAUUUGUGAAGACAAAAAUAGGGGGAGAAUUAUAUGGUUUUCGGUGUUGAACUGCUGCUACUCUUAUCUGGUUUAUAUCUAGUUUAUAGCUGAUGCUGUUUUGCUCUGAUUCUGCACAUCUUUCACUAGUUUUCACACUGAUUUUUAUGGUUUUCUUGUUGGAAAUCAUAUGAUGAAAACUGGUUCAAUGGUGGUGUUUAAACCUGGGUACUCUUAUAUGCUAUUUUCGGUGUUCAAUGGUGCUGGAUUAUCAAGCUUUUUCAAGAUUGCUUCAAGCUUUGGAUUCUUUCUAAGAGUGGAAUAUGAUUGCUUUGUAUUUCUUCUAUUCAAUUUGUGAUUGUAUCAGGUGUUAUCAUUCAUUUUCUCUCUUGACUAUUGUAUUGUUGUAAGAAAUAUUGGUGUGCAGAUUCAGAGGGUGUUCUGAAUUCUGUGGUGUGACAACCAAAGGUGGUGUGUGUUCUUGAAGAGUUCAAGAUCACCACUUUGGUGUGUGUUGUAAUCGAGGUGUUUGACUGUUUAGUGGAAUACUCAAAGGUUUUCUAGGAAUUGGAUGUAGCUCUUGAGUAAGAGUGAACCGGUAUAAAUUUCCUGUGUGAAUCUUUCUAUCCCUUAUCUCUUUAAAUCAAGGUGCUUGAAGUUUAUAAUUGCUGCUAUAAACAAUUGAUUGUUUCGCAAAAACAACCGAUUGAUUUUUUGCUGUUAAGUGAAAAAUAGUUUUUAAAUUAGGUGAACAAAUUUCUAAUUGAUUAAUUUUCAUUGGCUUUUAUACCUUCAAAACUUGUGUACCGCCCUGGUAGUCGGGAGUGAUGACGUGGCAACAAGCUACAGUAUAGGCGUGUUGACAAGGCGCCAGGUUGGCAGAAGGGAAGGAAGUCGGGGGGCUCGUGAAGUCGCCAGUUGUUAAGUUGGCGUGUUCCGAUCACCGGGUUAAAGAUGAAGUCGCCAGACGUAGACUCAGGCGACCUAGUGAUUGGAGAUCGCUAGAGCAAGCACAUCGCCAGAGAUGAAGGUGGUGCAGAUUAUGAAGGCGGCCGGCGAGACCACAGGGAAGGUGUAUGAAGGCACCCUAACUCGCCAGUUCCAGUAGAGAUCGCACUCCCAAGUUAGCUAUGUACUGGGCAGCACCAUGCAUAAAUAACUUAGCCAAAAGGAGAGUCAGAAGCAGCGCCCAAGUCAAGAAGGCUCCAGAUGAUGGCACGUGUACAGUUGGAUGCGAGCCACGUGUCCAAGUCUGUAACUUCCAGGAGAGAGAAAGUAACCAGGUAUAUAAGAGUUCUCAACGAACUUUCUGAGGUACGCACGUUCAGAAUACAUUCUUUACGCUUGCGAGUUAUAGAGCUUACUGUGAGAGAGGAUUUGCACGGUUCUUGUUCUCUUAGUAUUUGGUGAUUCGGUUACUGACUUGGGCGUUGGAGUGCGAUCGGCCGCAGCGGCGCCGCUCUGUUUCUUUGCAGGUUCUUGAGGUGGAUCUCGAAGAGGAACGGAGGUGUGAAGCGGUGCACACGUCGAUCCUUUGACGAGGCAGUUUCCAGCGUUCCGGUCAACAGGCAGGAUCAACUUGCAAAAAUCUUUCAUAAACAAUUCACCCGCCUUCUUGUUUAAGGCCUACAAUUCUAACACCCGUGGUCGCCACCUCAACAUCCUUGCACAAUGUCAUGCAAGGGGAGACAAAAGGCUUGAGACAAUUCAUGGCUCGGUUUGCCCGAGUUACUCUGAACAUACCCGACUUGCACCGGACGAUCUCCAUGCACGCCCUACUGGUGAGGCUAUGUUCAAGGAUAUUCUUGGACGCCCUAUAUGCGAAAACCCUAAGGACCUGAAUCAACUACGGGCCAAGGUAAGAUACAUGAGCAUCAAAGAAAAUGUCGAUGCACGGAAGAAGGCAAUGAAGACGCCAAUCACAACGACUUUCUGAGACGACACAAAAACGAAGCAGGGGAGAUUUUAAAGUUACACCCCUUUGAAGGCUUCUAGGGAGAUUGUGCUACGAGAGGCCUGCAACUUAAAACCCGUAUGCUUGCCAACACCAAGCCCCAACAAUCCUUCAAGGACCCGACUAAGCACUACAAUUAUCACCAACAUCAAAGUCAUAGCACGGAGGAGUGCUUUAAGGUAAGGGAUCUUCUAGAGAAGUUGGUUCAAUCAGGGGCCUUAAACCGCUUCAUACAUUAGUCUAGGUCAUAGUUGAAAAUCAAGAACUUGUACUCUUUUUCCUUUGCUCGAGUUUUUUUCCCUAAGAAGGGUUUUACCAAGCAAGGUAGGUAAGAUCGGCAAAAUAAAAUCAUUUUUUUUUCUCGGUACAAUCUCGCCAAGUUCAAUCAAGAACUAGAAAUGCUCAACCAAAAGCACAACAACUCGCUCAACUAAGAGUGUUAAAGCAAAAAUAAUACAAGUUAAAUCAAGAACUAGAAACGCUCAACCAAGAGCACGACAACACGCUCAACCAAGAGAAAAGCAAAAUGAUGCAAGUUUUGUCAAGACCUAAAACGAUCAACCAAGAACACAACAACACGUUCAACCAAGAGCGAAGCAAAAUAAUGCAAGUUUAAUCAAAAACUAAAAACGCUCAACCAAGAGCACAACAACUCAUUGAACUAAGAGCAAAGCAAAAAUAAUACAAGUUCAGUUAAGAACUAUAAAUGCUUAACCAAGAGCAUGAAAACACACUCAACCAAGAGCAAAGCAAAAUAAUACGAAGCAUGUUCUACCACGAGCAUAGCUAAAAACCAAAUCCAAACGGGUCCAAAUCGAACUCGUUCACCCUUUGGUUGCUCAUCACCAUAUUAUCACUUCGGCUUCCGAGCUAGGGGGCUUGUGUACGUACCGACCAUAAGAUCGGAAAUGCCAAAGAGCUCGGAUGAUUGUAUGCAUCCCUUAACCGAGCCUUUAUUGCCAUCAUGACCAUCAUAAGUAAAACGGCCUAAUCAAUGAGCCUUAAAUGAUAAACGACUAUUUAUAGAAUAAUGAAUAACAACUAUAUGGCUAAUCCAAAAGACUCAUAACAGUCCACUCAGAUGAUACCACCUGAUUAAUCUAUAAAUAUUUACUCUCCAAAAAGUACACUAUAUAUUAUCCCAUACUCUUAACUCUUAUAUAAUUAAAAACUUACCAUCUUUGUGUUCCUACUGACUUAAGCAUUAGAGAGUCUUUGCAGGUGAACCUCCCCCUCUCAUUGGAGACCAACUGAAAGCUCAAUCCAUGAGAAACACCCAGCCCUUAUCGAGUUACACUCUUCGAACUCAUUUCAAAGAAUGUCGGAGACGAAUAUAAGUGAAAUUAGAGAAUUGUUAUGAGUAAUGAUAAUAACACAUUUUAUGAAAAUAUUAUCAAAAUAAAACCUUUCUAGAAAUUCCAUGUGAUGAAAAAUAGAGAAAAUCCUUCGUAAUAAAAUAUUUGUAAUAUAAAAAAAUGAAAUAUGGUUGUUAAAAUAGUUGACAACAAUAAAAAAACAUAUUUAUGUAAAAUGAGUCUCAAGACCAAAUACAAGUUUAAUGAAUAGAUUAAUUACUUUAAAGUACAACUAGUCACAAAAAGGUUAAAAAAAAUAUACAUGUAUAGAUUAUUUUGAGAUAUUUGUUCUUUUUUCAAGGUUAGACACAAUUCACACGAUUAUUUCUCUUAUUGAACAACCUUUGGUAUAUGUAAUUUUAAAGAAAAAAAUUAAGUUUAUAGAUUUAACAAAAUUAUAUGAAUCGAAAGAAAUACUAAGAGCAUGAUAUAAGUGUUGAAGCUGGAGGAAGCUUCUUCCUUACCAAGGCUUGAUGUGUGUUUGAUGAAGAAAAUGGCUUAUGUGCUUUGAAGAUUGUAAUAGGUUUUUAGAUCCAUUUGUAAUUAGGCUUGUAAGUGUGUAUGAUUGCCUUUUGCUGUAUAACCUAUCCUAGAUGCCUAACCAAGUCUAGAUCAAGCACAUGAUGUGGUUAAAUGGUUUUUAAAAAGCGUUUUAAAGUAUUUUUAACAGUUUUAAAACAGUACACAAAUAAAUAUGUUUUAUGGAGAAAGAAUCUGUUUAUUUCUUCUCUGUUAAAAGGCUUUUCUAAAUUUCUGUUAGGGCACCAAGGGAAAGCUCAGUUCGUUAUUUCAGUUAAGCUGAGCUGGCCUGUUUGUUACACUUUAAUCUGUUUUACUGUGAAAGAACAGGUUUUUCUUUGGUCUGCUGAAAGGUUUUUCACAAGUUAGUUAGGGCACCAAAGGUACAACUCAGACAGUUAUUUCUGUUAGCUGAGUUGGCAGUUUUCACAAAAUAAAUCUGUUAAGUUCAAAAAUGAAUCUGUUGUUUUCUUAACUGCUUUUCAACUGUUUUUUGAAAAGAAGUUAGAAACUGUUUUCUAUAUAAAGAAAAGUAUCUCUCACAUGAAUAAGUGCUGAGGAAUUACGCUUUUGACAGAGAUCAAACAAUUUCNNNNNNNNNNNNNNNNNNNNNNNNNNNNNNNNNNNNNNNNNNNNNNNNNNNNNNNNNNNNNNNNNNNNNNNNNNNNNNNNNNNNNNNNNNNNNNNNNNNNNNNNNNNNNNNNNNNNNNNNNNNNNNNNNNNNNNNNNNNNNNNAUCUUCUUUUCAGGUGUAAUCUUUCCUUUAUUCUGUUGUGUAAAGGUGUAAGUGUUAGUCACUCCUUGAUAGGGUUUCUUGGAGUGCAAGGUUUGCUGAAAUAGGGGUUUUCAACAUUGUGUGUGUUGUUCUUGUAGUGUUCAAGAACUGCUGGUUUUGUAAGUGAUUGGGACUGGUUUUUAGUGAAUUCCACCUUGAGGUAAGGUGAGACUGGAUGUAGCUCUGUAUGAGUGAACUAGUAUAAAAACGUGUGUAUCUUGUAUUCUCAUCCCUGCACUCUUUUCUGGUUUUUUGAUUAAUUCUGUCAAGAACUAAAUCUGUUCUUUUUAAAUUGAAUCUGUUAAUUCUGGGUUAAGUGAAAACUGUUCUUCCUGAUUUGUUAAAGUUUUCUGAUCACAAACAAGGUUGCUGCAUAUAAUGGUUUAAGUGAAUUGUGAACAAACUGAUCAUUCAUUAAAACCUGAGAAAGGAUCAUACUUCUUGAAAUCUUGUGUUGUGUAAUUUUUGGUUGAUUUCUAAGCAUAGCUGUAUCCUUCAUCCUCACAACAUUAAGCUGAUUUGGUUCUGUAAUAAUUCUCUGUUGAUCACAAUUCUACAUUGAACAAAAUUCAAAUUGUGCCAAGACUGAUCUGAAGAAUCAAUCUGUUUCAUGUAAAAACAAUCUGUUCUUUUUGCCUCUGGAAUACUGAAAAAUUGUGUGUUCUUGCAAAAAUUUUAUAAGCUCAAUUCAUCCCUCCCCUCCUGAACUUAGACACUAAUAGACCCAACAAUAAGAAAAUUAAUUCCUAUGAUUUUGAAGAGAUAUCCUUAAGACAUAUUGUAAAUACGUAUUUAUGUUGAUAAUUUAAUCCUCAUCCAAAAUAAUUCAAGAUAAUUGUCAUUUAGGGAGAUAAUGAUAAGCUACUUUGAGAUGUUAAAUUUAGACCGAAUUGAAUGUUAAUUUUCAUAUUAGUUGAAAAACAACUAGAGCUCGUAAGAGAAAGUGGAGAGAAAAAAAGUGAAUGAAACUCAACAUAAAUAAAAACAUUGGAUAAUUGUAACUAAACCACAUAUACUUUAUGAAAUUGGUUUGUUUAAAAUUUUUAUAAACGAGUCACUCUUUGUGAUCUAAUGAGUAAAGAAAAUUUUAGGACGAGUUACUUUGACUUAACUUUCCUUAUAAAACUGAUAAGAUGCUCAUUAGAUAUACAAAUAAUAAUUGAGCCAAAUAUUUUUAAAAAAAGCACGUAAAGAUAUAUAGGAUAUUAUUGUAGUAUUGUGUUCAUAAAAAAAAAACUAACUAGUACACUUUCAAUGGUAUAAAUAGAGUAUAUUGCAUGAAUGGUAUCAAGAGACUUAUAGUUAAAAAAAUCAUCAGUAUAAAAAAAUCAGUAUUAUCUACGGAUUUUUAUUUAUACAUUUGAAUUCGUAAGUAAAUUUAGCAUUAUUUACGAAUAUUACCCACAUACAACAUUACCUACAAAUUCUGAAUCCGUAGGUAAAUUCAGCAUUACCUACAAACUAUUACCUUUAGAAUUCAGUGCCGAGCAAAUUCAGCAAUUGACAAAUGCUAUUUACUCGCUCAACAAUAACGAUAAAAGUGACACGUUUGUUAGCUCUGCAGGUCUGCUUGCCCAUAACUCCUCUUCUAAUUCUGCUUUUACGAAACCAUGGAUUUUGGAUAGCGGAGCAACCAAUUACAUUGCAUCUUAUUCACAAUUUUUCACACACACUUCAUCAUCAUUUAUUCCAAAUGUUAAUCUGCCCAUAAGCUCAAUCGUGCCCAUCUCAUCUACGGGCACAAUUAAAUUCAAUGACAAAAUCACUCUCAAAGAUGUUCUUUGUGUUCUUUCUUUUAAUUUAAAUCUCAUGUCCGUUAGUAAGAUAACCAGUUUACUAAAUUGUUGUGUCGUUUUUACUCCACAUGGUUGCGUUUUGCAGGACUUGGAUACGGGGAGGAUGAUUGGCUCGGGUAAACAACAUGCAGGCUUAUACUACAUAUCCCCUCUUCCAAACCAAGCCCAUGUAUCUCAAAUAUUGACCAACCCUGAAUUAUGACACAAACGCCUCAGACAUCCUUCUCCGGCGUGUCUACAACUUGCAUCUUCCUUACUACCUAUCCCUAUCAGUAAAAAUCUCAUUCCCAUUCAUAAUAAUUGUAGUAUUUGUCCCAAAGCUAAACAGACAAGGCUACCCUUUCCUUUAAGCACAAUAAAAUCUCAUUCUCCAUUUAAUCUAUUGCAUUGUGACAUUUUGGGUCCUCAUAAAACCCAACUCAUUCGGAAAAUGUUUUUUUCUCACUAUAGUUGAUGACUAUACUAGAUGUACUUGGUUAUUUUUUAUGAAUCACAAGUCUGACACCCAACAUAUCUUAGAAUCAUUCGUUACUUUUGCAUAAAAUCAAUUUCAGGCAUAUAUUAAAACCAUCCGCGUUGACAACGAAUUGAAAUUUAUUUCUAUGUGUAAUUUUUUUCUCAAAAAAGGUAUUGAAUGUCAACGCACUUGUGUGUACACUCCUCAACAAAAUGGAGUAGUAUAACGCAAACAUAGACACAUUUUAAACACAACACGAGCUCUCCUAUUUUAGUCCCAUUUACCAUUAGAAUUUUGGGGGAAAUACAUUUUAACCGCCACAUAUAUCAUUAAUCGCUUACCCACACCUUUACUAAAAAAUAAAUCUCCUUUUGAGAUGCUAUAUAAUCUCCCACCUUCACUUUCUUACUUAAAAACUUUUGGUUGCCUAUCUUAUGCAACUGUUGUUUCACCUAAGCAAAAAUUUGAUUUGCGCACUCGACAGUGCAUCUUCAUUUUUUAUCCUCUCAAUAAAAAAACAUACAAAUUAUUUGAUAUAGAUGCAGACACUUUUUUUACAAGUCGGGAUGUCAUCUUCUAUGAAAGUGUUUUUCCAUUCUGCCAACAGUCACAGACAUAAUCCUCACCUCCAUCACAAGGUAUUUUGCCCACUAUUGACAUUGACUUACCCACUCCUGUCCAACAUUCACUCGAUCAACCUUUUUCUCUUACUCAUCACAAUGCACCUGAACCUCCACCAAACUAACCUUCUUCUCCUACUCGUCACAAUACACAUGAACCUCUAUCAAACCAACCCUCUUCUCCUACUCGUCACAAUGCACCUGAACCUCCAUCAAACCAACCUUCUUCUCCUACUCGUCAUAAUACACCUGAACCUCCAGUAGACCAACCUUCUUCUCCCAUGCCAAGAAGUCUAGCACCCAUUACCAACCCUUCUCCAAUCGACCUUCCUGUUCGACGAUCCAGUCGUACAUCAACCCCACCUUCCUGGCUUCAAGACUACAUAACGGGAUCCCAAGCCAAUCAUUCGGCCACUACCCAAGACCGACCGAAUGGAACUAGGUAUCCUAUGCAUCAUUUUCUUUUUAAUUCUUGAUUUUCUCCUACACAUAGUGCAUAUCUUACUAACAUCACAGCCACCAAAGAACCUCACACUUAUGCUCAAGCUAUCCUUUAUCCAAAUUGGCAAAAAGCAAUGGACGAACAGUUUUCUGCCUUGCAGCUAAAUCAAACAUGGACCUUGACACCGUUACCCGCUAGCAGAAACCCAUCAGAUGCAAAUGGGUCUAUAAAAUAAAGUACAACUCAGAUGGUAGCGUCGACAGAUAUAAGGCGCGCCUUGUCACAAAGGGGUACACUCAAAUUGAAGGUGUCGACUAUUCUGAAACUUUUUUACCAACAUCAAAAUUAACAACUUUGAGGUGUCUCCUCACCAUUGCAGCAGCCAGAAAUUGGUUUACUCACCAGAUAGAUGUGCAAAAUGUCUUCUUACAUGGCACAUUGCAUGAAAUUAUUUACAUGGACUUGCCACCCGGGCAUCAUCGACAAGGGGAGAACAUUGUAUGUCGACUAAGCAAAUCUCUAUGGUUUCAAACAAGCAUCUCGGACAUGGUUUUCAACAUUUUCUCAUGUGAUUAAAUCUGUAGGAUUUCAACUGUCCAAGACAGAUCACUCUCUAUUCACUAGACAAAAUAACUCAUAAUUUACUGCCCUUUUGAUUUAUGUGGAUGAUAUUCUUUUAACAGGAAAUGAUUUGACAGAAAUUCAGCGUGUUACAGAUUGUCUAUCACAAAAAUUUCGCAUUAAAGAUCUUGGAGACUUAAAAUAUUUUCUAGGGAUUGAAUUUUCCCAUUCCAUGGUAUUUACAUGUCCCAAAGAAAAUAUGCGCUUGAUAUUUUGCAGGAUACGGGACUACAGGUGCUCGUCCAGACAAAUUUCCAAUGGAAUAAUACCUUAAACUCACACCAGACGAUGGAGAGUUAUUAAAGGAUCCAGUCAAAUACAGGCGACUCGUGGGACGACUGAUAUACCUCACGGUUACUCGGCCUGACAUAACAUUUUCGGUUCGGACCCUAAGUCAAUAUAUACAGGAUCCACGGAAACCUAUUGGGAUGUCGCAAUUCGAGUCCUAAAGUACAUCAAAGGAUCACCAGGACAGGGAUUGCUAUUGUCAUCCAAAAACAAUUUGUCAUUGACAACUUAUUGCGACUCAGACUAUGGAGGUUGUCAGACAACUCGGAUAUCAGUAUCUAGGUAUUGCAUUUUUCUUGGUUCUUCUAUUAUCUCAUGGAAUUCAAGAAAGUAGACAAACGUAUCAAGAUCAUCAGUGGAAGCAGAAUACCGCAUGAUGGCCAAUACUUGUUUGGAGAUAGUUUGGUUGCGAUAUCUGUUGCAUCAUUUAAAGGUGCCAUGUAACUUGCCAACUCAACUUUUCUGUGACAAUCAAACGAUAUUACAUAUAGCAGCAAACCCAGUAUUUGAUGAUCGCACAAAACACAUUGAGAUAGACUGCCACAUUGUGCGAGAAAAAUUACAAGUUGGAUAAUCAGUCCUUCAUAUGUACCAACACAGUAUCAGUUCGCAAAUAUUUUUACGAAGGCACUGGGCAAGGAACGGUUUUUUGAUGCUACUACACAAGUUGGAGGUUCAUGAUGUUCACCUACCAACUUGAGGGGAGUAUUAUGAAAAUAAUAAUUAUCAAAUUAUAUGCAAUUAUUGUAUGCAAUAUUAUACGAUAUUGUACCCAAUUAUAUGCAAUUAAUUUAAUAAUGAUAGAAUCUCAUGAUUAGUAUCCUACCUAAUUAGAUUGUAAUUUGAAGAGAGAAACUCCCUAUAUAUUUCCUAUACAUGAAGUGAUGUAACCAUACACAUAAGAGAAUCUCUUCUUCUUACCAUUCUUUAUCAUUUUCUUAUACUCCUCACAAUCUGAAAGCAUAUAAAAGGGAUUGAUUUGUUAACACUAACAUGUGCAAUGUUUUUUUUUUUAAUAAUAGAAUACAAUAUUUAGCAGCAACAAGAACUAUGUACCGAGAGAUAUUUUUUUUUUAUAUUUAUGAUCUAUUUAUAUUUUUUAUUAUUUAUUAUUACUUAUAAAAUAAUUAAUACAUAAUUUAGUUGUUUACCUCAUUAAUUAAUAUUUAGUUAAAUAUUCUAAUUAAUAUUAAAUUUGUGUUUGUUAUUUUUUAAUAAUUUUCUGUUAUUAAUACUAUGCUUCAUAAAUACUCCUUUUAUCAUUUAAAAUUCAUUUUUCCUAUUUUAUGUAAAUUUAGAGACAAGUGCAAAGUUGACUUCCACUGUUUCCAAAAGUAUCCUAAAACCAAGGAUAGCAGUUCAGUGAAAACAUACUUUGCAUAUUAAUAGGUUACUCUUUUAAAGAUAUUCUGCACACUAUGCAUUUAAUUAUUCCAUUAAUGUUUAACUUUAAUUUAAAAUUUAGAAAUAUGUAUUGUGAAAUUUUAAACUAUAUAUUAAAAGUUACUUUUAUAUAUAUAUAUAUAUAUGUUGAUAGGUGUGUUGAUACAACUUCAUAUAAUUUAGUAGUUCUGAGUUUCGAGUUUCUCUUGGGUGUAUACUAUAGUGUGGUAUUUUUUGUUGUUUCUUUUGUGGUUCACGUAACAAAACAUCAUGUCCAAAUUGCAAGUUCAUAACCAGAUACAUUUUGUUAUCGAUGUUACUCCUGCAAAAGAGAACUGGAACAUUGUUGUUAGAGUGAUGCGUUUGUGGUUUGUUACUUAUCUUGCUAAAUCCAAAAUUCUGUUUUCAAUGGAGUUGAUUUUGCGAGACAAAGAUGUUAUACUACAUUGACUUAUAGUACUUUUGUUUAGACCAGUAAACCUUACAUCUUUGUUUUUUGUUAUAAUGAUUUAUGUUGUAUUCUAUUUCAGGGUGUUAGAAUACAUGGAUCGAUUAGAAGAACACUAAUCUAUAAAUUUCAAAGUCAGAUUUUUUAUGGCAGUGUGUAUUUUGUUCAAUCGUUCAGUGUUGCAGCCAACAGUGGUUCCUACAAAACCACACACCAUCCAUAAAAAAUAAAUUUUCAGUUUGGAACAAAGAUAACUUUAGUUCCUGCACAACUGGUACUAGAAUCUCCUCCUAAAUACAUCCCUCUUUCUUCUAUAUCUGCUCCUGGAUUUGACACUGACUACUUAGUGGGUAUGUUGAAAUUUAACUUAACAUUCUUGAAGUAAUUGAACUCGCUACAUUCUUAUAAGGAUUUAUUCUAUUAUUAAAUUUUUUUCUGCCAUGUAGAUAUUAUAGGAGUGCUAACAAGAGUUGGAACUGAAAGAGAGUUGAAAAAAGAUGGGCGGAAGACAAAACUAAAUGUCAUCUCCUUAGAGUGUGAUGGGUAAUUAUUUUUUUAAGUUUAUUUAAUAUUUUAAUACUAAGAAAUGUUUGUAAGUAGUUUGUAAUUGAUGUUUUUUGUAAAUAGUUUCCGUAUUGAAUGCACGCUUUUUGGAAACUAUGUGGAUGAGUUGAAUGCAUUUCUGUCAUAUGCUGAAGUACAAAAUGUUGUUGUAAGUAUUGAGUUCGGCAAAGUCAAGCUUUUUCAAGGUAUAUAAAGUAAGUUAUUGAUAUUUGAUAUGGAUUUCUUAACAUAAAGAAUGUAUUAUAUAUCAUAACAUUAUAUUUUAUGUUUUCUUUGUUUUAUGUUUAGAUAUGGUUUAUAUCCAGAACUGCAUUGAUUGUACCAAGGUAGAAUUUAAUUUGAACACUGAAGCAGCACUUGCUUUGAAAAAAAGGUUGUCUCUUAACUAACGUGAUAUUAACAAAUGCAAAACAUGACUGAUGUGUUAUUUAAGAUUAUAGAUAUAGUUGAUACCUAAAUUGUGUAUGGUGCAAGAUGUCUUCAAGUAGUGAAUCACCUUCUCAAGGACUCAGUCAACUUUCUGAAGCUUUUAAACACAGUUUAAAAGAUGAAUUCCUUCAGCUCACUCCUAGAAACACGAUAGGAUGGCUCAAGGACUGCAAAGAUGUAAUACUGUGAACAAAUCUUUUACAUAGGCAAAUGCUUACAAAGUUCUAGGGAUAUGUUUGUUAACAUAUAACAAUUGUUACACGUUGUCGACAAUGAUGACUGGUGGUACACUACCUGUGUUUUUAAUAAGGCAGUGUACCCAGAUUCAAAGAUGUUCUUUUGUGAGAAAUGUAACAAGCAUGUGAUGAAGGUUUCUCUCAAGUAGUACUUUUUUUCAUAAAUUUUUUUGUUAGGGUUGCAAAAUUGUUAUUAUAAGAGAUGAAGUUCUAACCUAAAAAUCAAAAUUAUAUUUAUAGGAAUUUUAGGUAUAAGAUUAAACUGCGUGUUGUUGAUGAAACAGAUUCAACCACGUUUAUUCUUUUCGACAGGGAAGCAAACUUGCUCUUAAACAAGUCAUGUGCUGGAAUUUUUGAAAGUCAUGAUAAGGUCUUAACUUUGAUAUCAUAAUUUUAUUUAAUUAUUUAUUUUUAUAUUUAUACCUAUAUUUAUUUUAUUUAUAAUAUAUAUUUUAAUUAUAUUAUACAUUAAAUUUUUAUUUAUUUAUUCAGAAUUUCAAUCUUCCAAAAGAGUUUUCAGAUCUGUUGGAUAAAUAAUUUCUAUUCAAGGUUGACUCAAGAAAUGAUCAAAGCAUUCAAUUUGAGCAAUCUUUUAGAGUUAAAAAGGUUUGUUUUGAAGAUCAAAUUAUUCAAACUUUCAUAGAAAGAGGCAGUAGGUCAAUUGUAAGUAUUUUAUUAUUCAUAUUUACAUUUGUGUCAAUUUGCUUAUAUGUACACUUAGUUUUAACCACAUUUUCUGUUUUUGAAGAACUUAUAUGAACAAAAUGGAAAACAUUCAAAAGGAAAAACUCCUGCCAGUGAUGGUACAUGUGUGAAAAUUACAGAGGUAAAUCAAUUUAGAUGCCAAAGUAUUUUGUUCCAACUUAUUUACCAUGUAAUAUUUUUAUAAUUUAUUUUAUUUGUGUAACAGGAUUUGUUGACCAAAUUUUCUACUGAAUGUAUCGAUUCUGGAUCUCAAACCAUUGACCUUGGAAAUGAUAACGUAACAGUGACACUAAAAAAAGAGAAUCCCCCCAAUAUUGCAGCUGGAAGCGAAUAAUCUUCCUUUGAAGAUUUUUAAAAAAAUAUUAAGAUUGAGAAAUUAAUUAUUUUCUGAUUUUGUGUUUUUUCAUUAGACACUUUCUUCAGUUUGUAAUAUUUAAGGACAUGGAAUUUUAUUAUCGUAAGUUACCGGUGUUCUGUAAUUUGGAUUAUGUUUGUCGAAUGGUUAUGUUUGGUCGUAGUUGAUGAACAAUUAUUUUUUGUGUCAAGUAUGAACAUCACAUUUUGUUUCUACAUGUGCAAAAUAUUUGUAUUUAUUAUAUUUUCUUAACUGUUUCAUUCUCUUCAAACUUUUGUGAUAUAAUUGAAUUGAGUAAUUUGAUUUGCGGGGGAAUGCAGGAAAGUAAAGCAUCAAUAUUAGAAACAUACAUUGUUAUGUAGUUGAAUUCAAUAACUUGAUUUGCAGGGAAGGCAGGAAGAGUGAAGCAUCAUUUGUCUUGUCAAUGUAUUCAAUGAAUUUUACUUCAAACAAUUUAGUAUAUAAUAUUGUAACUUUAUUGAGCGUUUAAAUUAUUUAUAUUGUAAUAAUAUGUUUGUAAUAUAUAUUAUAAUAUUGUAAUUUGUAUUUUAGACAAUUUAGUGUAUAUUAUUGUAGUUGUAAUAAUGUAAUUAUAUUGUAAUAUUGCAAUUUCCUAUGUUCAGUAUUUCCUUUAUAUCUUUUAUAUCAAAUCACAAUAAUAUAUAUAUAUAUAUAUAAUAAAAGAAAUUAAGUAUAACAACGAUUAAUAAGUUUAAUUAUAUAUAUAAAUAUAUAUUAUAUACUAUAUAAGUAUUAUAAGUAUAUAUAUAAAUAUUAGUAUAUAUAAGUAUAAGUAUAUAUAUGUAUAUCCGUAUAUAUGUAACUAUAUAUAAAUAUAAGUAAAUAAGGAAUAAGAAACAAUUAUAUAUGUAUAUUGUAAAUAUUGGAAAUCAAUACUAAUAAUUAAAUACAUAAUAAAUAAUUAAAUAAGGAAUAAGAAAUAAUUAUAUUAAAUAAGAAGAGAAUGCUUAUUUUGAGUAUUGGAAAUUUUACAGUGUAAAAUAUAGAAAAAGAUAUGCAGAACAAAGUUGUCGGUGUAUUCAGACAUAACUUUAGAGACUCCUUUUAGAUGAUUCACUCCUCUCUCUCAUUUCUCUCUUCUCUCUCAAGUUCUCUCCUCUUUUCUCUUUAGGUUUCACAAAUUUGGCACUUGCACCAUCUUUCCUCAUUUCUUAUAUCAACAGGGUUUAGAGUUUAGAGUUUAAGGUUUAGGGUUUAUAAAAAAUAAUCAAUUUUUUAUAAGAAAACCAAAAAAGAAAUAAUUUUUAUGUUACGAAAAACGUAACAAACACAGAAGCAACAAUAUCAAGAACAAUGGAGGAAGCAAACCGAUAAAGAGAUUAAAAGAAUCAACAUAAAUGAUAAAAGUAACGAAUUUUGAUAAAAAAAACCCAAAAAAUUAAAUUUAUGUUGCGAAAAAACUUAACAAACAAAUAAAAAAAUUCGUAGAAAAAAAUAAAAGCAAGCAAUGUAGAAACGAAAUGAUAAAAAAUAACUUUUUCUUCAAAAAAGAAGAAAAAAAUUGAGAAAAACGUGAAACAUAAGCAUAACAAGACUAGAGAAAUGUGAGAGUUUUGGAAGAAAUGCAUAUGGUUAGGGUUUAAAAAACGAAAAUGAAAAAAGUGAAAAGCCCUUCGUAACUUCAUGUGAUUACGUCAUCUGUCAAAAUUUCAUUAGUUCCGCACAUUUGAUGAAAAAUUAAUAUUUUUUAUUGAAAUUUCUUUAUUAUUUUAUUUAUUUAUUUUUAUUAGGUGUCAUUUUUUUUAUAUAGAAUACCGUGGUCUGCCCGCGUACAAGGCUAGUUAUUCUAUCAUUUUUCUUAUUUAUUAGGAGCAAAAUAUAGAAUCUACCAGAGCGGUGUAGAAAGAAACCUAUAUCUUGCCGUGUCAGUUAUAACCACAAUACACGUGGCAAAUUACUAUUUGUUAAUCCAUUGAUAUUUUGGUCAUUUAGUGAGGGCAACCAAGCUAUAAAUACCACUCCUUCACAGCUUCUUCCAUGCAUAUAUCGCUCUAUUCCCAGUUCCCUAUCUCAAAAGCCUUAUUUGCAGAUUUUAAUCUUUCGAUUUGAGUAUUCGUCUUAAUUCUCAAGGUACCUUUCUCUUCUCUCCCUUCUUCUUAUUUGUUUACCAAAUCGCAAUCUGAUUAGCCUCUGCUCAUUAAGUUACACUUUAGGUCUUCUUCGUUGAUCACAUUCAUGUUUCGAUCUUUUUCUUAUGAUAGUCUUUGUUGGUCCGUUUUGUCGUCGCUGAACCAGAACCAAAUAUGUCGCCUUUUCUUGUUCUUUAAUCCGUUUGUUUUAUGCAAUAUCUUAUACGGUUUUUAAUUAGGUUUGUGGUUUAAUUUCUUUUCUCGUUUUGAUGGAUCUGUAGCUUGUGGUCUGUUUGAUUCUGUAAUAUGUUUGUUGUUUGCUGUAUACUUUCUCGGUUUUUAAUUAGGGUUCGUGAUUUAUUAUUUUUUAAUCAUUUCCGAGGGCUAGAGUUUAUGGUUGAAUUAGAGUUUGUGGUCUGAUUGAUUAUGUAAUCCGUUUGUUAGCAAAAUUUCUUGUAUACUUUAUAUGAUUAUAAUUAGGGACUUGUGAUCCAAACUCUUUUAUCAUUUGAGGCAAGAGUUUUGUGGUUGAACUGUGGCUGUACUACACAUGUAUGUGUUAUUGAUGUUUUAGUUUCUGAUUGAACAGAUGCAGAUAUUCGUGAAAACUUUGACUGGCAAGACCAUAACCCUCGAGGUAGAAUCGUCUGACACUAUUGAUAAUGUCAAAGCUAAGAUCCAGGACAAAGAGGGUAUCCCUCCGGAUCAGCAGAGGCUGAUUUUUGCUGGUAAACAACUUGAGGAUGGAAGAACCCUUGCAGAUUAUAAUAUUCAGAAGGAGUCCACCCUCCACUUGGUGCUUCGUUUAAGAGGUGGCAUGCAGAUUUUUGUGAAGACUUUAACUGGAAAGACCAUAACCUUGGAGGUGGAGAGUUCAGAUACCAUUGAUAAUGUGAAAGCCAAGAUCCAAGACAAGGAGGGCAUCCCUCCGGAUCAGCAGAGGCUUAUUUUUGCUGGUAAACAGCUUGAAGACGGUAGAACCCUUGCGGAUUAUAACAUCCAGAAGGAAUCCACUCUGCACUUGGUUUUGAGGCUUCGUGGUGGCAUGCAAAUUUUUGUGAAGACUUUAACUGGGAAGACUAUAACUUUGGAGGUUGAAAACUCUGACACUAUUGAUAAUGUUAAGGCAAAGAUUCAGGACAAGGAAGGCAUCCCACCAGACCAGCAGAGGCUCAUAUUUGCUGGGAAGCAGCUGGAAGAUGGGCGUACCCUUGCGGAUUAUAACAUCCAGAAGGAAUCUACUCUGCACUUAGUGUUGAGGCUUCGUGGUGGAAUGCAGAUAUUUGUGAAGACUCUGACAGGGAAGACCAUUACCUUGGAGGUGGAGAGCUCUGAUACAAUUGAUAAUGUGAAAGCAAAGAUUCAGGACAAGGAGGGCAUUCCACCAGAUCAGCAGAGGCUUAUUUUUGCUGGUAAACAAUUGGAAGAUGGUCGCACCUUGGCAGACUACAACAUUCAGAAAGAAUCCACCCUCCACCUUGUCCUUCGCCUUCGUGGUGGCCUUUAAGCCUUUUCCUUUUGAAUGUUAACAUCUUUUGUGUACCUUGGUUUGCUGCGUGUUAGGUGUUGCUGUGAUGUGCAGCUGUUGUAUUCUGAAACUGCUCCAUUGACUAUUGCUACUACGCAUUAUUCUGAUUUAUAAAUACAGUAUUUCUAUUUUUC
rnacentral:lncRNA from 1 species